CCAGGACGCAGGACUCCAAUGGAGUCGUUGGUGAGAGCUAUGAGGAGGGCACUCCGCCUGCAGCCUAGAAACAUGCCCCUCUGACCCACCUCCAUUUCUAGAAACAUGCCCCUCUGACCCACCUCCAUUUCUAGAAACAUGCCCCUCUAACCCACCUCCAUUUCUAGAAACAUGCACAUAUGACCCACAAGUCCAUUUCUAGAAACAUGCCCCUUUGACCCACCUCCAUUUCCAGAAACAUGCCCCUCUGACCCACCUCCAUUUCUAGAAACAUGCCCCUCUGACCCACCUCCAUUUCUAGAAACAUGCCCCUCUGACCCCACAUCCAUUUCUAGAAACAUGCCCCUCUGACCCACACCUCCAUUUCUAGAAACAUGCCCCUCUGACCUCACCUCCAUUUCUAGAAACAUGUCCCUCUGACCCACCUCCAUUUCUAGAAACAUGCCCCUGUGACCCCACAUCCAUUUCUAGAAACAUGCCCCUGACCCCACCUCCAUUUCUAGAAACAUGCCCCUGUGACCUCACCUCCAUUUCUAGAAACAUGCCCCUCUGACCCACACAUCCAUUUCUAGAAACAUGCCCCUCUGACCCCACCUCCAUUUCUAGAAACAUGCCCCUCUGACCCCACCUCCAUUUCUAGAAACAUGCCCCUCUGACCCACACAUCCAUUUCUAGAAACAUGCCCCUCUGACCCCACAUCCAUUUCUAGAAACAUGCCCCUCUGACCCACACCUCCAUUUCUAGAAACAUGCCCCUCUGACUCACCUCCAUUUCUAGAAACAUGCCCCUCUGACCCACACCUCCAUUUCUAGAAACAUGUCCCUCUGACCCACACCUCCAUUUCUAGAAACAUGCCCCUGACCCCACACCUCCAUUUCUAGAAACAUGCCCCUCUGACCCACCUCCAUUUCCAGAAACAUGCCCCUCUGACCCCACACAUCCAUUUCUAGAAACAUGUCCCUCUGACUCACCUCCAUUUCUAGAAACAUGCCACUCUGACCCCACACAUCCAUUUCUAGAAACAUGCCCCUCUGACCCACCUCCAUUUCCAGAAACAUGCCCCUCUGACCCCACACAUCCAUUUCUAGAAACAUGUCCCUCUGACUCACCUCCAUUUCUAGAAACAUGCCACUCUGACCCCACACAUCCAUUUCUAGAAACAUGCCCCUCUGACCUCACCUCCAUUUCUAGAAACAUGCCCCUCUGACCCCACCUCCAUUUCUAGAAACAUGCCCCUCUCACCCCACAUCCAUUUCUAGAAACAUGUCCCUCUGACCCCACAUCCAUUUCUAGAAACAUGCCCCUCUGACCCCACCUCCAUUUCUAGAAACAUGCCCCUCUGACCUCACCUCCAUUUCUAGAAACAUGCCCCUCUGACCCACCUCCAUUUCUAGAAACAUGCCCCUCUCACCCCACAUCCAUUUCUAGAAACAUGCCCCUCUGACCCACCUCCAUUUCUAGAAACAUGCCCCUCUGACCCACCUCCAUUUCUAGAAACAUGCCCCUCUGACCCACACCUCCAUUUCUAGAAACAUGUCCCUCUGACCCCACCUCCAUUUCUAGAAACAUGCCCCUCUGACCCCACCUCCAUUUCUAGAAACAUGCCCCUCUGACCCACACCUCCAUUUCUAGAAACAUGCCCCUCUGACCUCACCUCCAUUUCUAGAAACAUGCCCCUCUGACCCACACAUCCAUUUCUAGAAACAUGCCCCUCUGACCCCACCUCCAUUUCUAGAAACAUGCCCCUCUGACCCCACCUCCAUUUCUAGAAACAUGCCCCUCUGACUCCACCUCCAUUUCUAGAAAUUAAUCCUGCAGACAUGGUGUUCCCACACUGGCAUGAGGGUUGUCUGAAACAGGGAACAAGUCUCCAGUUUCUGGAACCCGUGCGGGCAGCUGCCUCUGGGGAGAUGAUGUGGAGAAGCUGGGAGAGGUCUGGGUGGGGUUCCCAGCUGUGCACCUCAUAACAGCCAACUGUAUGAUGUGUGCACUUCUAAACUUCCAGAAGUUUGCUUAAAAACACACGCACACCAGCCGGGCACGGUGGCUCACACCUGUAAUCCC
rnacentral:lncRNA from 10 species